rnacentral:misc_RNA from 1 species
GUUUGAUGGUAUUCUUGGACUUGGAUUUCAAGAGAUAUCUGUAGGGAAAGCUGUCCCUGUCUGGUAUAAUAUGGUAAAUCAAGGUCUUGUUAAACAAUCUGUCUUCUCAUUCUGGUUCAAUCGGAAUGCUGAAGAGGAAGAAGGAGGUGAACUUGUUUUCGGUGGAGUUGAUCCCAAUCAUUUCAAGGGUGAACAUACAUAUGUUCCUGUAACUCACAAAGGCUACUGGCAGUUUGAUAUGGGUGAUGUGCUUGUCGGUGGUGAAACAACUGGAUUUUGUUCUGGUGGUUGUUCAGCAAUUGCAGACUCUGGAACGUCCUUAUUGGCAGGACCAACGACCAUUAUUACUCAAAUAAAUCAUGCAAUUGGAGCGUCAGGAGUUGUCAGCCAGGAGUGCAAGUCAGUAGUCAGUGAAUAUGGAAAAACUAUACUGGAUCUACUCGAAUCAAAGGCAGCGCCUCAACAGAUCUGCUCCCAAAUCGGUUUAUGCUCUAGGGAUGGUGGAAAAGAUGUUAGCAUGAUUAUUGAGAGUGUGGUGGACAAACACAAUGAGGCUUCGAAUGGUGUGCAUGACGAGAUGUGCAGGGUUUGUGAGAUGGCUGUGGUAUGGAUGCAAAACCAAUUAAGGCGAAAUGAAACUGCAGAUAGAAUCUUUGACUAUAUGAAUAAGCUUUGCGACCGAAUUCCCAGUCCAAUGGGAGAAUCUGCAGUUGACUGCAACAGCCUUGCUUCCAUGCCUAAUGUUUCCUUUACCGUUGGUGAUAAAACAUUUGAGCUGACGCCGCAGCAGUAUGUCCUUAAAGUUGGCGAGGCUCCUGUUGCACAGUGCAUAAGUGGAUUCACAGCAUUAGAUGUGCCGCCUCCUCGUGGACCCCUUUGGAUCUUGGGAGAUGUUUUCA